GUAGGUGAACCUGCGGAAGGAUCAUUAUCAUAACGUAUCCACGUAUAAACCAAUAACUUAAUGUGAAUUGUAAUAUAUUUACUGCCUUUAGUAAUCUAUUGAUCGCUAUUCAGUUGCCUCUUUUGAUUAAAGGCGACUAUGAUAGACUUGGAAAGCAAUUUCCUAGCUUUGAUUACUAGAGUGUAAUAUAAUUAAUCAUAACUUAUUAACCCAUUGAACCGAUAACUUUUAUUAGUUAUUCAUUUUCUUU
rnacentral:misc_RNA from 1 species